UACGUAGGGGGCAAGCGUUAUCCGGAUUUACUGGGUGUAAAGGGAGCGCAGACGGCAGUGCAAGUCUGGAGUGAAAGCCCGGGGCCCAACCCCGGAACUGCUCUGGAAACUGUGCGGCUAGAGUACUGGAGGGGCAGGCGGAAUUCCUAGUGUAGCGGUGAAAUGCGUAGAUAUUAGGAGGAACACCAGUGGCGAAGGCGGCCUGCUGGACAGUAACUGACGUUGAGGCUCGAAAGCGUGGGGAGCAAACAGG
rnacentral:rRNA from 1 species